UCUUAUCAGCUUAAAUACCCUGAAGGCACCAGAUCCCGUCUGAUCUUGGAAGCUAAUUGGGAUCAGGACUGCUUAUUAGCUAGAUGGGAAACCACCUGGGAACAUCAGGUACUGUAGGCU
rfam:Anolis carolinensis chromosome 2, whole genome shotgun sequence.